rnacentral:lncRNA from 1 species
GAAACAUAUGCCAUACACAUGUUUUUGAAAAUGUAGAUAAGGAAAACAGAUAACAAAUAGUAUUAUGUAGACAGCUCUUUCCACAAGACUCAUCAAAACUUCCAUUACAGUUUUCAGUAGCGCCAGAAAGCAGUUGUGUCCCUUGGCCCAGUGAAGAACGUAAAACUGAGGUGCCUGUGUCCUUUCCAUUGCACUACCACUGUCCUGAUGGAUUUCAUCUCCUCUUCUCUUUAACAGUCUGGGGACAGGGAUCACUGCCUGUGGAGAAGGCAUGCAUGGCACGACAGGGCUCAGAUCUUUGUACCAGCCUGCAGCUGCUUCUGUGACAAGUGCAGCAUCUAUGAAGCCUGCUCAUCUGUGGAAAGCACAAAGCUACUAACCAGUGCUAAAGGAGGAGAGCAAGGCAACACUCCAGUUCUCCAAGAAAAAACAAAGUAUAAAAGCAAACUCGAGAAUUACUGACAAACCUAAAAGAUAUUUCAAAUGGUGGGAAGAUGGCAUCCAGCUGAUAUAAGAGAAGGAACGAACAACCCUGCAAACCACUGGCAUGUGUAUAUCGACAUCCAAAAAUACACCCGGACAGCGCAUCUGAAAACUGCGUGUAAGAGAAGGAGGAUGGCUCUCCCCAAACCUUGUAUUCUGCUGGACCUGAUGCGUGGGCCUGUGGCAGCGCUGCUCUGUGUCAGGAGCCUAACCCCAUGCAAAGCCUCUGAAGGUACAAAGUUAAAAUCCUUACUCUCCUCUGGCUGACUGUGCACGAGUUAUUCUUCUGCUAUUGUGCAAAUAAAGUGGCAUUAAGAGAUGGAGGGUAGAAUGCU